ACCGGGCCAUCCUUCUUCGUGCGCCAUGGUUGCCAGGCUCUCGCAAGCUCUCAACUUACAAAAUUAAGAAGAAGAAGAAGACCUAUCCAGCGACGUGAACGUUGCUGUCUGUUGAUCAACGCCAGGCGACAUACUCCCCCCCCCCAACUAGCUCGUCUGGCCGAUCCAAACUGCUCUCUAGAUUUUUUCCUGUGGAGUUUCGAUCGUUUUCCUGUCAUCGAAAUUAGGGUUUGUUUUUGGGUCUUCUUCAUGCAUAGAAUCUUCACUUGAGAGUGCUCGGUCCGCGUCGCUGUCGUGUAUUUAUUUUAGAGAUUUUUUUGGGUCUGGUUUAUAGUCUUCGCAAAAUAUUGGGUUACGGAUGCUACCUCUUCCUGCUGUUUGUCGUGUACAGCAGCAUGAAGCGGAGGAAACCUUAAUUUCGUUUUGUUAUGUUGUUUUGUGUCAAUUAGCCUCGAAUUGGCGUCCUGUGAGUGGUCACACAGUUGUUCCGCGUGGGUGAAGGCAGUGUGGAUGUGGGGUUGCGAGGAGGUGUGAAGUUGAUGGUUACUUAGUUGCGGGCAGGCGGGAUUUGGAUUGGUCUCUCUCUUUUUUUUUUCUUUUUUUUUUUUUUUUCUUUUUUUUUCCCUUUUUUGGUUUUUUAGUUUUUUUGCUUCUACCCCUCGCUAGGUGUGUGCGUGUUCUACAUCAAAUUUUCCCAUGUUGUCGGUGGCGGGAAUGGCCAGUCAUGGCGAGAGUAUGCCCAGUGUUGUUUUAGAUAACAAGGACGCAAUCCAUGUUGCGGAGGCCUUGACGGAUGAGCUGCAAGUAGAUGAUGGCAUCAGGCAUUAUAAAAAAGGCAUGUGGACUGUGUCGGAGCUGCUUGUGCUGCAAGCGGUGAGGCGCGAGGAUUUUGAGCGACAAGCCAAAGGUGGCAGCAGGGAGAAACACAGAGUUGAGAAUGGAAUGUGGCGUGAAAGCCCUGAAGUGGCGAGAGAGCAUCAUAACAGGUCAGCCCAUGAGAGAUGGAAAUGGAUGGAGGACCGGUGCUGGAUGCAAGGAGUGCAGCGCAGUGCGGGGCAAUGUCAAGACAAAUGGGAGGGAAUUACUGCUGGUUUUAAGAAGGUUAACGAUUACGAGAAGCAGCUCACGAUUGGUCAACCAUCCUACUGGCAAUUGGGAAGUGAUGAUAAAAAGAAGUUACGGCUGCCUCCAAAUUUCCACAAGGAGGUGUUCACAGCGCUCCAGGAGUGGUAUGUCAAAAGCCGCACCGGGGAGCCGGGUGUUCUAUUCGAUGCGUUAGCUCCUUCAAGAGGAGUUGCAAGCAACAUGGACUUUUCUGGGUCUGCGGGAGAAAGCGAUGAGAAUGAUGCGGGGCCAAUAUCCUCCGGAAAGCGGAGACGGUCUGGACCUUCAAAAUUUGGCAGUAUGGAUGGCAUUGCUGCUGUGCUAGAACGAAAUAACAGGAACAUUGUGGAUGCUUUGAGGCUGGCCGAAGACAGGAAGGACAAUAGACACAAGCAGACCUUACAAUUUGAACGGGAGAAGCAUAGAGAUUUAAUUGAGCUUCAGAAGCAGCUGGGAAGUGGCUACAUUACCGCUUUGAACCGGAUUGGUGAUGCUCUGGAUAAGUUUGCAAUGGCCAUGCAAGCAUCGAGCCGACACUGACAAUUUUGGAAUGAUUGUCCUUUUGUCUAGCAUAUCGCUGGGCAAGUUGUGGCACGCGUGCAUGUGAUACCGAUUCUUGUAUAUUCACAACCUGGCUAUGUCCGUGGACGGAACAGAGCUGGUGGUUUAGGGACACCUUCUCCCUCGUAAUUCUUGCAACAGCUGGCAGCAUUUCUAUGAUCAUGAAGACGGCUGAAGUGCCUGAAUGCUGAAGACGUCGCAUGCUUCAAACCGAAGUUCCUUGUUAGAACAGGAAGCUUUUUAGACGAACUUCGUUCAAAUGAAGUGACAUUGAAUGCUUAAAGCGGACGGGCUGGACCUACAUUUCGAACUAGCCAUGCUCUCACUGAAUAUUAAACUGCCUACUUGGUUAAGUGAUCUGUGAGAGACAAAUCUCUGAACAGCAGGGUAAUUUCAAACACAUGGUCAAAUAAAUUCUGCGUAACGAACAGGAUGUGCUUUUCAUGUACGUCUCGAGUUGCAAUUAGUGUUAAUCUUCAGUUAGGGUACAGAAUCGCAUCAAUUAUACUUGACAAGUAAAUAUUUUUAACAUUUAAAAAC